UGAGAUUUAAUAGUUGGAAAAUGGGUAACCAGCUGAAGCUGUAGUACCGAUGAAACAAAAACAAAAAAGAUAAUCCAGAUCUAAAUUCACAGCUCUCUCUCUCUCUCUCUCUCCGUGAAUAAUCUUCUUCUUCAUCCACAAUUGGCUUUCACAACUCUCUCUCUCUCUCUUCGUAAUACUCUUGUUCUUUAACCACAAUUGACCAUCACAGCUCUCUCUCCAUCACAGUUCUUCAAGCAAAAUGGGCUACUGUGUUGAGAGAGAAAGUUGCUACUGUUGCUGCGUUGAGAGAGAAAGUUGCUACUGCAUCUCAACUUUGUGUGCUGUUGCUGUCGUAAUUGAGGAUCGAUUGCUGCGUUGAGAGAGAAAGCUGUUGCCACUGCGUCUCGGCUCUGUGUGGUGGUGCUGCGUCUCUGCUCUGAUUCGGUUGGUGAUGGUGCUACUGCUGCUGCUGCAUCUAUUUCGGUAAAUUUUGUUGCGUCUAUUUUGUUCAUAUGAAUGUUAAUUGAUUUUUUUUUUCUGGGUUUUUUUCAUAUGAUUUUAAUUGAUUUUUUGUUUCUAUGUUUUGUUCAUACGAUUGUUAAUUGAUUUUUUUUAUUCUUUCCUUUAUUUGCUAUGAUUUCGUUUCUCUUUGGGAUAAAUUUAGGAAGUAUGAGUCUAAUUUUUAUUGAAUGUAUGAUAUGUGAAGGCCCUACCUACUGUUAUUUUGGGCUAAUGUGUCAGCUACAGGUUGAUAUUUUGGGCUAAUGUGGAGAGUAGGGUAGAAUAGUUUAUGAAUAAAUUGAAAGGAUGGUCAUAUAGAUGGUUAAGGCUGAAAUUGCAUAAAAGUUCUCCUCAGCUUUUACCCAACAAGUAAGUGUGAUAUUUUUGAAACCAAGGUUAAACACAAGAGUUAGGAUUAUGGUAUUGCAUGUUCUUUCUGGAACUUUAAUUGCUAUCUCCAUUAUGGUUCUCUUAUAUCUUUUUGUUUACAUCAAAGAAAGAUGGGUUAUGGAAUAGGGACUUUCAGGUUUUUCUGUGAACUUCCCUUGUGUUCACUUGUUUAUGCUUCACUCUAUGCUUUCAUUAUUUCCUCAUUUUAUUUUUCCACUUUCAAUAUCAUUGGUUCAUCAUAGUUUCAAGGAUUUUGCAAUGAAAUUUGCUUAUUGAUGCAUUCGCAACCUUUUCUUUUUAUGUAUUUCUUAUUGCCAACUCCUAUGCUCUCAUUCGAUAUAAUGAUGUUGACUGCAGAGACAUAAACGGGGGAAGAAAAUAUUUGUUGUGACGCAUGAGGAGCUAAAGGUGAUUCAUUAAAAUACUCUCAACCUUGAACCACAUUCAAUUUCUAUUUUCCAGUCUGAUUUAUAUGUGCAUAUUCUUAUAUUGUAGCAUCUUAGGCGGAGGAUAAAAGACUUUGCAUCUACAUACAUGAAGAAUUGAAGAUUAAUAACUAUACUACUAUUCUUGUGAUGGGGUUGCUACACAGCAGGGGGCAAAAUGUCUAAAAGCAAACAGCGGGGGGCAAAAAGUUUAAGUGGCUUUGCUCUCACUCCUGUAAAAUUAUGGAAGUAUUUCGAAUAUUUUCAAUACAUCAAAAGAUAAUGUUAAAAGAUUUGGGAAUUAGAUUAAAAAGGCAAGAAUGUAGCACUAAUGCAGAUUAUUGAGAAAUGAUUCAAUUUUUGGGGGUUUAAUUGAAUCAUUAACCUUCUUGACAUUCCUCAGUUAAGCAUGAUAUAAGUAGUCAAUUUUACAACGCAGAUGAACUCAAAAAUUGGCUAAUCAAAUAUGAACUUCCUCGUCAGUAGUGAGUUUUGGUCGUGGAAGGGUAAAAAAGUAUCAAGAGUACGCAGCCAUGCAGGGCGAGGAUUUGAUGUUUUGAGAGCUGUUAAAGUGUCGUCUCCCUCUCAGCAAACUCUGACGGUAAUUUUUGAUAAAUAUUUUAUUUAAAUCAUGUUCUGUAAAAUACAAAAAAAAAAUCAUGUGCUGUAAUAUAUAUUUUAAUUAUAGGGUAAAAUAAUGAAAAUGUGAAACUUUCUUUUUUAAUAAAUGUUAAUACCAAAAUAUUUAUGGUAUGUCUGUGUAUGUAUUAGUUAAAACAAUUACUU
rnacentral:lncRNA from 1 species